rnacentral:rRNA from 1 species
AGUCGAACGAAGCGCUUAAACGGAUUUCUUCGGAUUGAAGUUUUUGCGACUGAGUGGCGGACGGGUGAGUAACGCGUGGGUAACCUGCCUCAUACAGGGGGAUAACAGUUAGAAAUGACUGCUAAUACCGCAUAAGCGCACAGUGCUGCAUGGCACAGUGUGAAAAACUCCGGUGGUAUGAGAUGGACCCGCGUCUGAUUAGCUAGUUGGUGGGGUGACGGCCUACCAAGGCGACGAUCAGUAGCCGGCCUGAGAGGGUGAACGGCCACAUUGGGACUGAGACACGGCCCAAACUCCUACGGGAGGCAGCAGUGGGGAAUAUUGCACAAUGGGGGAAACCCUGAUGCAGCGACGCCGCGUGAGCGAAGAAGUAUUUCGGUAUGUAAAGCUCUAUCAGCAGGGAAGAAAAUGACGGUACCUGACUAAGAAGCACCGGCUAAAUACGUGCCAGCAGCCGCGGUAAUACGUAUGGUGCAAGCGUUAUCCGGAUUUACUGGGUGUAAAGGGAGCGUAGACGGUUGUGUAAGUCUGAUGUGAAAGCCCGGGGCUCAACCCCGGGACUGCAUUGGAAACUAUGUAACUAGAGUGUCGGAGAGGUAAGCGGAAUUCCUAGUGUAGCGGUGAAAUGCGUAGAUAUUAGGAGGAA